UACGGAGGGUGCAAGCGUUAUCCGGAUUCACUGGGUUUAAAGGGUGCGUAGGUGGGUUUGUAAGUCAGUGGUGAAAUCUCCAAGCUUAACUUGGAAACUGCCGUUGAUACUAUAAAUCUUGAAUGUUGUGGAGGUGAGCGGAAUAUGUCAUGUAGCGGUGAAAUGCUUAGAUAUGACAUAGAACACCAAUUGCGAAGGCAGCUCACUACACAAGGAUUGACACUGAGGCACGAAAGCGUGGGGAUCAAACAGG
rnacentral:rRNA from 1 species